rnacentral:rRNA from 1 species
GCUUACUAACCGUCACCGGCGGCGGGAAAUCGUAGGUGCCAAGCUUUUGCCGGGGUGACUGGGGGUAAAGGUCGUGCAGUCUGGUCUGCAAGUCAGAUGUGAAAUCCAGUGGCUCAACCCAUGAACUGCAUUUGAAACUGUAGAUCUUGAGUGUCGGAGGGGCAAUCGGAAUGCCUAGUGUAGCGGUGAAAUGCGUAGAUAUUAGGAGGAACACCAGUGGCGAAGGCGGAUUGCUGGACGAUAACUGACGGUGAGGCGCGAAAGUGUGGGGAGCAAACAGGAUUUGAUACCCCGGUAGUC